AAGCCUCUGCUCUGUGUUUCAUAUUUGCUACUGUGAUGAUCUCAAACAGAUGCUGGACAAUUGCAACAAAUCUAAUUUCUUUCCAAUCUCUCCGUCUCUUCUGCAAAUUUCAGAGGCACAGUUACAUCCAUUAGGCCACUGAGUCAAGAUGCAUCAUUGAAAGACUGUAAUUUAUUGGACAGAUAGCUGCACACAGCAGAGACUCGCCUAAGCACAGAUAUGGAAAUGACAAGUAUACACAGAAAAGGUUACACCUGGCAGAUUUCAAUGAACUUCUUUCACUAGCACAAGGAUUAUUAGCACUAGCACAAGGUGCCAGCCACCCAUACCACACUUCAGAAUUCAGUUCCCUCUCGGCUAACUCAACAUCAAAAUGCUUGUAGAUAUGGACAAGGCGGAAUCGUUAUCAAUCUGUUUUAGCUGACUGGCUCUCAGACCAAAGCAAUUCCACUAGCAACAGACAAUGCCUCCUGAACUACUGAACUGGUCAUCUGCUGGGGCACUUCCAAAAUAAAGGAAACAAAAAAUAAAACUGUCAGCCUGUCACUUUCAUACCCUGGAACCACCCCUCUCUUGUCGCUCUUCAAUCUCUGUGUGACCUGAAGAACCUGGAGCUAUCCGGGUAUUCCGAUUGUC